ensembl:lncRNA
UUUUUUUCAGCGCCAGAUAACUGAACACAACUAAAGUCAUGCGUGCCUCGCGGGCACAAUACCAAAUUUCAUCAUAUUUGAUAGAAUGAAGGACAUAUUAGUUGUGAAUAGUAUCACUGAGUUUGAUAGGUAUUGGUCAGGUAAUAGCCGAGUGACAGCUGAUUUGCUUUCUGAUUUGACAGUACCUUUUCGUGUUUUUUUUCAGCGCCAGAUAACUGAACACAACUAAAGUCACGCGUGCCUCGCGGGCACAAUACCAAAUUUCAUCAUAUUUGAUAGAAUGAAGGACAUAUUAGUUGUGAAUAGUAUCACCGAGUUUGAUAGGUAUUGGUCAGGUAAUAGCCGAGUGACAGCUGAUUUGCUUUCUGAUUUGACAGUACCUUUUCGUGGAUCUUGUCAAGCACUGACAAAGCAUGCAUGCGUUGGCAAUCAUACAAAUAUUUUUGUAUCAUCGCGAUGCAAAUGCAUGUGUGUAUAAUAAUAUUCUGAAUUCAAGUUAAUGCUUGUGAAAUAAAGGCAUUUAUAUGUUUAUGAUUGUGUGAUUCAUUGGGAUGUGCAUGUGGGCAAUAGUGGUUCACGUUGCUGUACUCACAAUUUCGGAACAGCGGG